rnacentral:rRNA from 1 species
UACGGAGGGUGCAAGCGUUAUCCGGAAUUACUGGGUUUAAAGGGUGCGUAGGCGGCUAUAUAAGUCAGGGGUGAAAUCCCACCGCUCAACGGUGGCAUUGCCUCUGAUACUGUGUAGCUUAAACAGGUUGAGGUUGGCGGAAUGUGACAUGUAGCGGUGAAAUGCAUAGAUAUGUCAUAGAACACCGAUUGCGAAGGCAGCUGACUGGACUUAGUUUGACGCUGAGGCACGAAAGCGUGGGGAGCGAACAGG